ACGUGGAGAUCGAAGUGGAAAGAAAUAAAAUUGUUUUAUUUGGGAGUUUAAAGAGUGGGAUUAAAUGCGCCCACAAAAACAAAAUAUGGACCCAAAUUACGACUUCUGUUAAUAGUGUGGGGGUUGAGAAGCGCACUCCAGCAAAGGAGCUGCAGGCUGAAAAAAAAACUACUGAAGACACGAGGUCUAUAUAUCUCUAUUUCCUUGGCUGAGAGCUUCGAGUAGAAAGGUGGCUUCACUGGACUGAAAAGACAGGCUGCCUUUUUUUCACAAAGCCGAGUGGGGCCGAGCUGAAGGCAUCGAAAGGCGUGUGAUUGGCAGUAAUCUAUUAGCCUCCUCGAUGGCUCCUGCAGGUUGCUUCGGCCCGUCUGGCCUGUGUGCCCACUGCCCACUUGGGCUGGCUGAAAUAAAGACUUUCCAGAGUGUGUUCCUGCUGUCAGAUACCCACCGCAGCUUCUGGCAAAGCAACACCCCUCUAAACUGAGAUGCCGUGCUGACCUGUCAGCUGUAAACAUCCUGCUCUUCAUCUCCACAAAAUCAAUUUAACCACUUACGCUAAUGAAAAAUGGUUCAAGACUAUAGUGUACAAUGAGAGAAGAAGAAUUAAACAAAAUGAUGAAAAGA